GCCGGCUGUAAACACACACGUCGCCAGAAAAGUAAAGGUCACAGCCCGAAACUCAAAAGACCUGGCGGUACCCCAUACCAACCUAGAGGAGCCUGUGCCAUAAUCGAUAACCCGCGAUCAACCUCACCACCACUUGCAAAUCCAGCCUGUAUACCGCCGUCGUCAGCCUACCUUCCAAGAGCGCAGCGCAAGACAGUCCACAACACAAAAACGACAGGUCAAGGUGUAGCUAAUGAGGUGGCACGCAUGGGCUACAAUGCCACACGAUCGGCCAAACGGAACCAGGGCUGAAUUAAACCCGGACAAAGACGGAUUUAGUAGUAAGAACAAUAAGAACAUUGACCUGAAACAUCGCACUGGGGUACGC
rnacentral:rRNA from 1 species